rnacentral:rRNA from 1 species
GAUUAACGUUGGCAGUGCGCCUAACACAUGCAAGUCGAGCGAUAUAGCGGCAGACGAGAGAGUAAUAGUAAGGAACUUACCCUCGAGUGAAGGAUAGCCAGCCGAAAGGUUGAGUAAUCCUGCAUAAUAUCGAAAGAUCAAAGGUCCGCCUUUGGCGGAGCGCUUGGGGAGAGGCCUUACUCCUAUCAGCUUGUUGGUGAGGUAAUGGCUCACCAAGGCGAUGACGGGUAGCUGGUCUGAGAGGAUGAUCAGCCUCGAUGGGACUGAGACACGGCCCAUACUCCUACGGGAGGCAGCAGUUGGGGAUUUUGCACAAUGGAGGAAACUCUGAUGCAGCGACACUGCGUGAAGGAUGAAGGUUCUAGGAUCGUAAACUUCUUUAUCAGGGAGUAAUCUUGAAAGUACCUGAUGAAUAAGGACCGGCUAACUACGUG